UGUAGCCAUGCCACCCUGGUUGUGUCCAACCUCAUUUGAUCUUGGAAGUUAAACAGGUUCAACCACAGUUAGCACUUGAAUGGGGGACCACCUGGGAAUAACAGGGGCAGUAGCUACAC
rnacentral:rRNA from 1 species